UUGAAGUUAGAACGCAACACAAGAGCAAGGCAACUUGAACCUCCUGCUGUGCAGAUCGGACCGGACGUCCACUUCCUGACCAAUCUAUAUCUGCAUCACGCCAUCAACUAUCUCUCACCGCUGAGCUCAACACCAAGGACGUCCACUUCCUCAUGGAGCUCAUCCAGGAACUUAGCCUUCUCAAAAACACAGCAAAAGGGCACGAUCACAUGUGCACAAGUGGAUAUUAUGCCACAACAAUCCAAUGUCAAAAGUUGGGAAAACCAACAAGACAGUCACAGUUUGUUUCUUGAUGCAAGUUAAUAUUUCCAAUGGCCUCAACAUCCAGCAAUAAGUCCUUUGAUGGGGAGAUUCAACUGCUUGAAAUGAAAAGGCAAAUGGCUAUGCCAGAAAUUCAAAUUCUAGAAGCCAAGCGAAGUAAAGGUAUAAAUUCCAACUCUAUACCAAGAGAGGCUAGUGAGCCCAAAAUCAGGUCUAAUGACAUCAGAAAUGCCCAAAGGCUUUAGGUGGUUAUUUCCCACCAAACAAUUAUAAAGAUGCAAUAGCAGCAUUAAACAAGCUAAUUCCACUAGCUGGUAACAGCAAAGGAAAAGCAAAAAUGGCCAAACCUCAAGGAGGUAAAAACUGGCUAAACCCCACUGGUUUAGUUAACAAUAGUCCGAAGCCCAUUGCUUAGGACAAAGCCAGUAGAGGCCCAAAACCCAAAGCUUUUGAGCCCAGGCCUUUCGCUAUUAUUGAUGAGUUACAAGCCCAACACUCAUUAAAAAUAGAAAAAACCAACCCAGUGAGGUUACGCCCACAAAAACCUAUUGAUCAAGAAAAAGAGUCAAACCAAAGCCUUGACCCCAAAAAGAUCAAACCAUGGAAGCCUUCAGCCCAAAGGCCUAUCACCAGAGAACAACUAGGUAUCCUUACCAAAGUCUUCAACCACAUUAGACAAGGUACUGGUCAACCUAACCCUGUUCGUGAAGUUGAAUAUGAAUUUCACAGACUCAACAAGCUUAUCAAAGCCUAGAACUUGGUUUCUAAGAGAGAAUAUUUUCUUGAACUCUCAGAAACAAUCUACAAUAAAGAGAUCGAUCUCACUUUGUUUGUUCUCGAUGUUGAGAUUAGAUACAACAUUUUUGUAGAAAAAAUAGUACCCUCAUUCUUCUCGAGGUACAAUCAUUGGUCACAGCUAUUUAAUUCCAUCAAUAGCAAACCUUGGACAAAAAUGUUAGCCGAGUGUUUUUCUGAAAACUCUGCAAAAAUAUUUUUUGAAAACGAUCAGAUUUGGGAUGGCAUAACCCGUUAUCGUUAGAUUUUAAUCUCCAAAUCAAUCAGCUCUAAAAUCUUCUUAGAAUUAUUCAAGGGAGGUUUUAUCAAUUCCAUCAUCCUCGAUGAACAUUCUUCCAAAAUGGCAAAAGAUAUCCCGCCAUUAAAAGAUUUCAUUGAAUUUCUUGUAUCCACUUAGAGUUACUGUCAAAUGGUAAAUCAAGGACAUUUUGGCAUUGAAGUAAUCUCUGCACCUCCGAGAUUUCAAGUCAAAAAUUGGAAGACAGUUAAUAACUUCCUUGAAUCCAAACCAACUAUCUUUCCAAGUAUUCAUAUACUGAGAGAGCAACAGGAUGUUAGAGUAAAAACCCAAUACUCUAUCAAAAUUGUUAUAGCAAGGAGUAACAAUGCCUUCGAUCGAGCAAACAAAUUGCAAAUUCUUGAAGACGUCAUCAACAAUCUCACUCAACAUUAUGUUUGGAGAGACUACAAAAGGAUCACAUGUAUGGAAGAAAGCAUCCAUAAUAGAUGCCACCUUGCCAUCAAGCUUUUCGAAGAUGACAACUAUAUGCAAAAGCAAAUUCCCUAUCUUCGAGUUGAAGACCUCGAUGCUUAUGAAAGCGACGUAGCAUCUGAAGCAAGCAAAGCAUCCAACUAGCCAUCAGAAGAUGAUAAUGGAAAAGAAGAGCAUCCACCGAAAAAGAAGGAAGCAUGUGAAGGUCCACAAAGGAUAAUAAUGUAGUCUCCACUAUGUAAGAUGCCAGCGAUCAUCAAGUUUUACGGGGCCCUCUCACUUUGAUGGCUCUUGUAUGUUUGAGUCUUUUGAGUUAGCAUAGACUAGUCCGGUCCCAAAGGCAGCCAAACAUAUGCUAUAAUGCUUUAGUUUGUUGGGUCACCUUUUGCUAAAGCAAAGAUGCCAUGCUUAGCAUCUAAGCAAAGCAGAAGGCCUUCUCCUCUAUACAAGGGGAAAUGAGUUAGUUUGGUUUCGGGAGAUAUCAGAAGCAUUAAGGAAACUACUCUUGGUGCACAAACAAGGUAUGAGUGAGUAGUCCUUUAGGGGCUCCAACGGGAGUUGAGAUGGGAUUGUAAACUACAAGCUCUAGUAUGUAAGUGCAAAACCAUUGUAGAAGGGGACUCUAGUGGGGCUCGAAGUUGAAUUUAGACGUGUAUAGAGAUCUCCCCCAACCUAAAGAUUUUGGGACUUGUGUAGAAGGCCUGUGUAGAAGGUUUUUUUUUUUUUUUUUGGUAUUGUAUUAGCGCCUUUGUACAUUUUUGAAAAGUGUAUGUCUUUUAAAGCCUUAAGAAUGAAUGUUGCUCCUGUGGAAAAUGAGCCAAUUUAUAACAUGGAAAUUUCUUUUUGAGAUGUUUAUUUCUGUAUCCCAUUUUGGAAUGAUCUUCUUUUGGAUGUUCCUAUG